CUGAGAUCUGACAGAGUUUCUACUUUGGGAACCUACUAACCGUGACUCAGCAGCGAUUCACCCAGGAGCGGGCCGGGGAAGCUGGGGACAGGCCUUCUCAUGGGCCCUGCUGUGGCCACUGGGAGCUGGGUCGGUGCUGGGCUCUGCAUACUGUCUCCCGGUGACCCCAUCAUGGAGCUCAGGCUGGACCUGAUGGUCAGAGAGAGGAAGCGGUGCUCCCCACGGUUACACAAGUCAUCCUGGUCUCUGCAAAUGAUUCAUCAUUUUUUCAGCCACUGGUGUUAAGCACCUGGGAAUCAGGAUGGUCACGCCCCAAUCAGGCCUCACACCGUGGCACCCUCUUGAGGGACUCAGCUUUCCAGGAGCCUCUGCUGAACCAAAGCUUCAUGAUCCUCGCUCGCCCGCCCACUGGGAGACGCUGCUGGCUUCGGCCUCCCCCUCCUCAGCCUCCCAAAUCCAGCCCCCCAGCCGGCCCCCAGCCCAGCACGGAGUCAGCCCCCGUCACCGCAGCUGUCCACACUGACAAAGCCUGGCUGUUCGAUAAGGCCGUGCCAGCUGGAACGAGACACUUCCCGUCCGACGGGAGCUUCUGCACGGAGCCUGGGGGCAGCUGUCGGCUCCGGCUAGAGGAGCGCGGAGCCGGAUCUGGGGCCUGCACCCUCUCUGGGCCCUCCCUCCCCCAGAGGCUCCACAGGGGUCCUGACAUGGGGGGUCUGGAGGAGGGGCUUUUGCUCUCUGGACCCUCUGACCCCGAUGCUUAAGAACCCGCCCCUUUGGGAAGUACAGGGUUCUGUUGCUAGGACAGGGCUGGGGCUGGCGGAAUGUUGGCCCCUCCCUGGGUGACACUGCUUUCCUUGGUCAUCAGGUGCCAGUGACCAGAGCAGAGACUGAAGUAAGAGGUGAAGGUCGUCUAUGUAACCAGCAGCAGAGCAUGGUCACAGCCAGGAUGGACAUCGGUGUUGGCCACCAGGGAGGCAGAGCAGUGUGCUCCGGCCAAGUCUGGCCCUGGGUCCAGCAAGAAACCACUGCACCUCUGGAACAGCUCUGCCGAGAUCUCCAUGGCAGCUGGACAGCCACUCCCGGCCCCUUAAGCUGGUCCCUGGCCACUGGACACUCAUCCCAUAAUGAUUUCUGGAGCAACUACUACGUGCCAGGCAUGAGGACACCAACAGGUCCAAACCCCUGCCCUCGUGGCAAAUAUGUUCCCAGAGCACAGCCUUCUCUGACUGGGACCAGCCCUGCCCACUCACCCAAAUCCCAGGCCCAGACCCCAGACCCAGCCUAGACUCCAAGCCCAGACUCCAGGCUCAGCCCCCAGCCCCCAGCCCUAAGCCCCCAUUCCCCAGCCCUCAGGCUCAAACCCCAGACCCAGACCCAGCACAGAUCCCAGACCCAGGUCCAGACCCAGGUCCAGAUCACAGAAACAGACCCCAGACCCUGAUUCAGGCCCAGACCCCAGGCCCCAGAACCAGAUCCCAGACCCCAGUCCCAGAUCCAGACCCUGGGCCCAGACUCAGGCCAGACCCCAGACCCUGGCCCAGACAUAGGCACAGUCCCAGACCCUGGGCCCAGACCCAGGCCCAGCAGAGCCAGCCGCCUUUUCUGGCUUGAUUCCUUUAUAAGUCUCUAAUUACAUCCUGGGAGAAGCAAUUAGAAUGAAACGGAGGGGUUUUUCUCUCUCUCCCGCAGGCCAGGCCUGUUUAAUAACUUAAUUGAAUACACAGAAUUAUAAUUACAA